rnacentral:rRNA from 1 species
UACGGAGGGUGCAAACGUUCCUCGGAAUCAUUGGGCGUAAAGCGCACGUAGGCGGCUCGUUAAGUCGGGUGUGAAAGCCCUGGGCUCAACCCAGGAAGUGCAUUCGAAACUGGCGAGCUUGAAUAUGGAAGAGGGUCGCGGAAUUCCCGGUGUAGAGGUGAAAUUCGUAGAUAUCGGGAGGAACACCAGUGGCGAAGGCGGCGACCUGGGCCAAUAUUGACGCUGAGGUGCGAAAGCGUGGGGAGCAAACAGG